UUAAAGCAAGAUUCUUUUUUUUGGAGUGG
rnacentral:piRNA from 1 species